AACGCAUAUUGCGCCCUUAGGCAUUCCUUAGGGCACAUCUGUUCGAGCGUCAUUACACCACUCAAGCCUAGCUUGGUAUUGGGCGCCGCGGCGUUUUUGCUGCGCGCCUUAAAGACUUUGGCCGGUUAUCGAACCCCUAAGCGUUGUGGAAUCUUUUACUCGCUUACAGGAGUCGAUGGCAUCAGGCCGUUAAGCCUCAAAUUUCAAGGUUGACCUCGGAUCAGAUGGGAAUACCCGCUGAACUUAA
rnacentral:misc_RNA from 1 species